CCUACGGGAGGCAGCAGUGGGGAAUUUUGGUCAAUGGGCGCAAGCCUGAUCCAGCUAUUCCGCGUGUGGGAUGAAGGCCCUCGGGUUGUUAACCACUUUUGUUGAGGACGAAAAGACACCUUCGAAUAAAGGGAGUUGCUGACGGUACUCUAAGAACAAGCAUCGGCUAACUCCGUGCCAGCAGCCGCGGUAAUACGGAGGAUGCGUGCGUUAUCCGGAUUUAUUGGGUUUAAAGGGUGCGCAGGCGGAAGAUCAAGUCAGCGGUAAAAGUGAGUGGCUCAACCUCGUCGAGCCGUUGAGACUGGUUUUCUUGAGUGAGCGAGAAGUAUGCGGAAUGCGUGGUGUAGCGGUGAAAUGCAUAGAUAUCACGCAGAACUCCGAUUGCGAAGGCAGCAUACCGGCGCCCAACUGACGCUCAUGCACGAAAGUGUGGGUAUCGAACAGGAUUAGAUACCCCAGUAGUC
rnacentral:rRNA from 1 species